rnacentral:pre_miRNA from 1 species
CUGUGCUGUGGGUCCAGGAGGCAGAACUCUGGGUGUCUCACCAUGGCCUGGAUCCUUCUACUUCUCCCCCUCCUCACUCUCUGCACAGGUGC